AAGAAACCAACUAUUUACAACCAUUACAAAGUCCUACGAUCUGCCACAUCAGUUUUACACAGGGAAGGGAAUUAGAAGAAGGGAAUUCACGUCAAUCACAGACAUCCUGUCGAGCAUGUGUCAGGUGCCACAUUGGUUCUAAGUGCUUCAUCUAACUCAUUGAAUCUCCGUAACAAUUCUGUGCAGUGACAUUAUUUUUCUCAUUUUACAGCUGAAUAAACUGAUUUUCAGAGAGUUUAUGUAGCUUGUGCAAGACCACACAGCUGGCAAAUAACUGAGCCAGGAUUCAAAUCCUGAUCUUCCCAAUACCCAAGGCCAUGCUCUUUUUAGGACCCUUCAGUUCUCCCUUUAGUCCUUUCUCUAAUUAUGUCACUCUGAAGGAGUCAAAUCUCUUUGCUUUGAAUUUAAUGAAGUUGUGCUUUAAGGUUUUCCUGGUGUUCAGCAAAUAUACAAGGCUCCUCAUGACAUUAAACUGCUCUUAUAUUGUAUUUAACCUUUUAAGAACAGAAUCAAGCAUUUGCCAAAAGUAGAGAAUUAAUUGUGUAACUAAUUAAUUCAGUUCACAUAGUUAUUUGUUUAAUGUUGUUUGAUGUGUCUGUCCAACUUAAUAUUUAUCUGGGGUCGUUGACAGAACUACGUUGAUUUGUAGGAUAGGUUUCUGAAGGAAAAUACUUUUUUUAAACUAAACAGUUUCUAUUCUAAUCACAAAUAGGAAAGGAAGAAACUUUUUAAAAUGAAAAAUAUAUAACCACUCAUUUUUGAGGAUCUCACAAAAACAAAGUAUUAUGCAAGUAAUCUGAAGCCAAAAGCCACAGGCUGAGAUUUGCCAUGCUGAAGGUUUUUUUUUUUUUUUUUUUAAUCUACAAAUGUUUCUUUGAAUUCUUGAAUGCUCUAUCCUGUGCCAGUGAAAGAUGUUUUUCUUUAAAGAUCUUAGCAGUGACUGACAUAUCACUGUUUGAGCAGAUGAUCCUGAGAAAGUAACCAAAGCCAUUUACAGAACAGGCGUUUCUGUAACUUGGGCCCUUUACGGAAGUAAGCCAGUGGGCUUGCGUGUUGUUUGAAGACUGGGCUUAUCUUUGUUCAGUGUUUUGCUUUGAGAGCACGACUGACUUUGAGUUUCAUCUGCACUCUGUGACCAAUUGUGAGACAGACCCAAAGUCUGAAGUUUGUGUUGACUUUAGAAAGUCAUUCUCUGAAGCCUUUUUUUGGAAUGAGUUUAAAGAAGGAAGAGUACCAAAAGCCAGGUCCAGUCUUGUAGUGGAUGUUUUGGAAAGAAAGGAUCAUGGUUCUCUGGGACCAUCAGAGUGGAUCAGAUUACAUUCUAAUGUAAUGAUGAAAACAAAGAACAAUAAAUCAGAGGGACUCUAAAACAUCCUAAAAUCUUCCCUCAGGCAAAUAAUACCAAAUCUUCGAGGGUGGAUAAUUGUUUUCUCUCCAUUUUCUUUUUUCUUUUUCCUUGCAGAUUGACAGAAUUAAAAAUUUGACAAGCCCCAUCAGUGGUUCAUUUAAGUGUUUUGGUAUACAGGUGAUUAGAAACUAUAAAAUCUCUUCUGCUUUAUUUUAAAGCUAUUGUCUUGCUCAGACUGCGUAAUUUAAAGGCAACUGUGUUAAUGUCUGUGGUGAAAAAUUUCUGAUCCUAAAAGUCAUGGACAAAAAGGGGGCAUUUGCCUACCUAGUGUCAAGGAGCUUAAACUGUAAUCAGAAGUCCAUGCAUUAUUGUUUUAUUCAAAUGUAAAGGGAAGAUGAAUGCUCAAGAUACCGCAAAGGAUCUUCUUAAAAUAUGCAAUUUGUGUGACUCUUGCUGAGUCAGAUGAGUGGGUGAUGCUGGGCAGAGCUGUAGAAGAAAACUGACUUUCAGCAAGGAAUAAGAAUCCAUGCUAAACAGUACAGAAGUGAGGCUGAGAAUAUGCUCAAGGAGAGUGCGGUGGUUGGAAUGUUUGUCCCUUCCAAAACUCACGUUCACAUUUAAUCCCCAGUGUGGCAGUAUUGAGAGGUAGAAUCUUUAAGAGGUGAUUGGGUCAUGAGGGCUUUGCCCUCAUGAAUUGAUUAAUCCACUCAUGGAUUAAUGGAUUAACGGGUUAGUGGAUUAAUGGGUUGUCAUGGGAGUGGGGCUUGUGGCUCUGUAAGAAGAGAAAGAGAGAGCAACACUCAGCCCCCUCGCCAUGUGAUGCCCUGCACUGCCUCGGAGUUUGCAGAGACUCACGACCAGCAAGAAGGCUCUCACCAGAUACCGUCUCUCAACCUUGGACUUCCCAGUAUCCAGAACUGUAAGAAAUAAAUUUCAUUUCUUUAUAAGUUAUCCAGUUUCAGGUAUUCUAUAAGCAACAGAAAAUGGACUAAAACAGAGAGGGAAGCCUCUGGAAGGGGGAAGCCUGAGUGGUUAAGUGGAGAAAACUAUGUAUUCAAUUAAGAUAGGGUGACAAAACCCAAGUGUGAAACCUACUAGUGGGGACUGGCAGAAAGAUACCCUAUUUAAACAGUGUUCUGUCCUUACGUAACGUUAUUCUCUAAUUGGCAUCUCUUAGAAAAUGGCUGGAUUUGGCCCACUUAGUUAAGUAGGUCCAGGAGGGGCAGAGACUUGGAGUUUAUUCAUUUUGGGAGGAAGCCCAGAAUAGUCAAUAGAACUAAAGGUAUGACGAUAGUGUUAGGUGCAUGUCCUGUAAUGUAGUUGGAAUCCUAAAAACUGGGAUAAGUUUGAGGUGUAGGGGUUACCCGAUUACAAUUUAUCCCUGGUUUUUGUCUUCAUUGUCUGCAUUGCUGUUAGGUUUUCUGAAGCCUUGUCUUCUCUAGUUUAAAUUGGAGCAGGAAUUAUUCUUUGAUAAAAGGCAGUAGUACCUCAGCUAACUUUCUCACUCAGAAUAUAUUUAGUCAACAGAUAACUGUUGACACAUACUAAAUACAAGUUCAUUACAUACUUUUGGAGGAUAUAAAGAUAAAUCAGGCAGAGUUUAUUCUUUUCUCAUGUAAUGGGGGUGGAGGCGAUGGACCAUCAUUUAAUGGUUGAGAACUGGGGUUCUGCAGUCAGACCCAAGCUGGUUCAGACCCUGGUGUUGCAAUGUACCAGAUGUAUA
rnacentral:lncRNA from 1 species